GACGAACGCUGGCGGCGUGCCUAACACAUGCAAGUCGAGCGAAUGAAGUUCCUUCGGGAACGGAUUUAGCGGCGGACGGGUGAGUAACACGUGGGCAACCUGCCUCAUAGAGGGGAAUAGCCUUCCGAAAGGGAGAUUAAUACCGCAUAAGAUUGUAGUACCGCAUGGUACAGCAAUUAAAGGAGCAAUCCGCUAUGAGAUGGGCCCGCGGCGCAUUAGCUAGUUGGUGAGGUAACGGCUCACCAAGGCGACGAUGCGUAGCCGACCUGAGAGGGUGAUCGGCCACAUUGGGACUGAGACACGGCCCAGACUCCUACGGGAGGCAGCAGUGGGGAAUAUUGCACAAUGGGGGAAACCCUGAUGCAGCAACGCCGCGUGAGUGAUGACGGCCUUCGGGUUGUAAAGCUCUGUCUUCAGGGACGAUAAUGACGAUACCUGAGGAGGAAGCCACGGCUAACUACGUGCCAGCAGCCGCCGCCG
rnacentral:rRNA from 1 species